rnacentral:tRNA from 1 species
AAAAAUUUAGUUAAUUAAUAACCUUAGUUUGUCAAACUAAAAUAAUCAUUUAUUGAUAAUUUUUA